CUGCUUGGCUUUCCCCAUCGUACGUGGCUGCUGAGCACCUCGCCGAGGCUACAGCAGCGCUCAGCACAGCUCCGGCCCGCCGGCGGUUUUCUCUACUCGACCUCCCUCAUCGCUGCAUCUGGACAUACGCUGCUGCUCGCCGCGCUCCCUGGUGUGCGAGCUUGCCGGCACCCAGUCCUCCUCUCCACGUCAGAGUCCUUACCUCACCAUCAAGACAUCGUCGUCGCGCCGUCCAGCAGUAGCGCUCGGCUCAGCUCCCUUCCUUCAUCACACAAAGCCCCACUUCGUCGUGCCUCCACCCUGCUUGGCUUUCCCCAUCGUACGUGGCUGCUGAGCACCUCGCCGAGGCUACAGCAGCGCUCAGCACAGCUCCGGCCCGCCGGCGGUUUUCUCUACUCGACCUCCCUCAUCGCUGCAUCUGGACAUACGCUGCUGCUCGCCGCGCUCCCUGGUGUGCGAGCUUGCUGGCACCCAGUCCUCCUCUCCACGUCAGAGUCCUUACCUCACCAUCAAGACAUCGUCGUCGCGCCGUCAGCUCCCAGAAAAGGAAGUUGA
rnacentral:misc_RNA from 1 species